CGCUAAUUCCAAAAAUAUAUGGUUUCUAUACAAAAAGAUAUACAUAAGGGAUAUCAUUUUUUACUUCCGGUUUAAAAAAUGGUAUUUCCGGUAUGUUUUGAUAGUUUACGUGACACUGAUUCCAAAAAUAGAUGGUUCUAUAUACUUUUACAUUAAAUUAGUACAAAAAAUGGCUACUUCCGGUUUACAAAAGGUCACUUCCGGUUGGCUUUUUCAAGGUCACAUUGCUUGCAAUCUUUAGCAAAAAUUCCCAUGGCUUUAUCAUG
rnacentral:lncRNA from 1 species